rnacentral:pre_miRNA from 1 species
CAAGUACUCCCUCCGUUCGGAAUUACUUGUCAUCAAAAUGGAUGUGUCUAGAACUAAAAUACAUCUAGAUAUAUCCAUUUCAAUGACAAGUAUUUCCGGACGGAAGGAAUACAAG